rnacentral:misc_RNA from 1 species
GUUUUCCGGCUGGUUCUUAAACCGUGUGUUUCGACGCAUAUAACCUUUUGGCUGGCCGGAAGUCCUUCAUGACAUAAAGAAAAAAAUGCCUUCAUCCCCUGACAGUACUACUGCUGCUGCGUCACCAGAUUCUGACUCUCCACCUUCACCACCUCCAACAUCAGAUUCAUCAUCUUCAUCGCCGCCGCCACCUUCAACAUCAUCCCCGCCUGAGAGUUCUCCACCUCCCCCACCCAAAUCAGAUUCUCCUUCACCACCUCCUCCGCCAUCAGAUGCAUCAGCACCUUCACCAACAAGUUCAUCUUCACACCCACCUCCGCCACCACCAUCUAAUAAUAGUAGCCACAGCACUUCUUCGCCACCUCCACCACCACAUAAAAUAUUGUCACCCCCACCACCUCACAAAUCA